CCUAACAUUUGUUUCCAAAUCAUCCUCUUUCAUAUUCUUUUCUGCGCCGCCUUCCUGAUUCUCCGUAGUCUCAUUUAGAUCAUCAACAUUCAGAUGGUGGUCAUUCUGAUUUCUGGACCUAACACCGCUGCUAGAUAUGAAGCGAUCUUCCUCUCUAAGACAAUGGAAGAUGUACUUUGGAUGUAUAGUCCUUGACUUUGGUUGAUUCCCUCUUUUGUAAGCUCAUAAAUGACAACAGGUAACUCUUUAUUUCUCGUCGAUUUUAAGCAAAUAAUAUUAGCAAAAACUUGAGGUGUACGUAAAAAAUCUUGCUAGACUCACCACAUCUUGAUUAGUUUGAUUGUGGUCUAUACUGAUUGUUUAUGUCUUUUAUCUUUCUUGUCUCGAUUCUCAAACUUGCGAUUUGUUCUUUGUACAUGUUUAGAAUUCUUCUACAAUUAGUUGAGAGUUUUUCAGAUUGCGUGUAUUCUUGUGCCUCCUACUUACUGUAAGCACUAUUAGCAAUGAUAUCUACUAGCUUAUUUAUUUUCCUAUAUACAUGCUGAACUUUGAAGUUGUUUUGCUUCUUCCAUUAUAUCUAGUAUCUUCCAUGGUAUUUUUCGUUCCCUAAGUAUCACUUUCAUGAUUCCUAGUGAUUUGUUUCUAGUAUAACCUUCUUGAGCUUAUUUUUUUAUACAGUAAAUUAGCCCUUUUAGUCCUGUUAUUGCGUCAAAUAUUACUUUAUAUUGAUAUACUAAGCAUUUUGAACUUCUAAAGCAACAAUAGUGAGUUGUAGCUUAGUGGCAAAAACGUGUCUAAUAUGUAUACAAUACCUAAAUUCGAAUCACCGCAUCUAUGUUUUGUAUAUUUUGUUUAAUGUGGUAUGUUGUAAAAUAUUUAAUUAAAUGAAAAAGGAAAUAUUAUGUUUGCCAUUGAGGUUUAAUUACCGAUGGCCCAUUUUUUUUUAAAUUGGCUUUAUUUCGAACACUCUUCAAGAAUUUUCUGCCUAUGCGCUACUCACCAAUAUAUUUGUGCUAAUUCCAGUACUUUUUAUCAUGAAUUUAGCUCAACGUUAUGAAUAAUUCACUCUUAACCCUUUGUCUUCCUAUAAGGGGGGAGAAGACCAGAAGCACCCAAACUUUUUCAUGGUAUUAGAGAUGACAAACAUUAUAACUAUGUUGAAAUCUUUCUAUCUCCAAAAAGAAUCAGACCACAGGAGAAAUGUGCGAGUUGAAAAAAUUAUUAAGUAAUUAAUUAAAAUAUGUGUUAUUAAUCAUUCAAACAUAAUUUUUAAUGACAUUGUCAAACGCUUCAACACUUUCAAAGAAAAUAUAAUAUUUUAAUUAGAAAGUAAGAAUUUAAAUUAAGCAAAUCUCAUGAGAAAAUAAAUUAAAGGUGUGAUCAACAUAUGUACAUAAACUAGACAUAAUCAUUCCAUAAAAGUCAUUUGUGAACCAAUACUAUUGGUGGGAAGUGAAAAGAUUCAAAUAUUAAAAUUUUCUCUACCUUUCACAAUAUAUAUAUAUAUAUAUAUAUAUAUAUAUAUAUAUAUAUAUAAUUCAUAUUUCACCAAAUCAUCAUUUCUCCAUUUUAUCUGUUUUCUCUAUUAUUUUUUUGCUCUCUUCCAAUGGUGAACUUCAUGCUAAGAAUGCCCCCCUUCCAAUCUUCCCUCUCUCUUCCCUUUCCCCUCAUCGUGUUAGCGAGAAGGUUACACCACAGAUCUUAGGAAUUUAUGGGAGUAGCGGACCCAUUCACUCAGUCAAUAUUCCUCCUAGAAUGAGGGGAAACAUGUUGAAUGUUGGGGAACGAACGUCUAAGGUUUGGGUCAACGAUCUCAAUGUUGAUGCGUCCGCUUGUUGUUGAUGCUGCUCCAAAAGGUUCAACAUUGGGAUUUUAGCCCAAACAUCAGACGUCCCUUCCCCAUCGUUCAACAUCGUUGAACAUUGAUUGAGUGGAUGGGCCGCUACUCCCAUAAACCCCUAAGAUCUCAGUAUCAACAGUUGGUGUAGCCUCUUUGCGAGCACAAUGAGGGGUAGAUGUGGGGGAAGAUGGAGGGGAGAUUAGGGAGGGGGACAUUCUUAGCAUGAGAGUUGGUCCUUGGGAGAGAGCAAAAAUAAUAAUAGACAAAGCAAAUGAAAGAGAGUAAUAGGGAUUUGGUGAAAAAAGGACUUAGAGAAGAAUUAUAUAUAUGGUGUGAAAGGACUUUCCAUCGAUAGUGUUGGUUCACAAAGGGGUUUUAUGGAAUGACCAUGUCUAGUUCUAUGUAUAUAUGUUGACCAUAUCUUUAAUUUAUUUUCUCAUUAGAUUUGUUUAAUUUAGUGUCAAGUUAUAUGCGGCUCCUUAAGUUGUCCGCAUAUUUCAUUUGAACACCUUAUCUUAGGUUUGUUCCAAUUGAACACUUUUUUUAGUAAAAAAAAUACUUAUUGGACAAUUUUUUACAAUCAACUAAAAGUAGAAAUUAUGUGUUAUACACUUGCGGCUGACGUGACAUUGUACCUAAUUAAAAAAAGACACAUGACAUUGUCCCAUAAUAACAAUUUAAAAAAUGAAAUGAAAUUAAAAUAAAAUAAAAAGUAUGUUUUCAGCCUCCCAAAAAAAACUUUUCUUCCUUUUUUUCUUCAUAGCCAGAACAACCCACCCAACACCCACCCCGACUUCCAUCCUUCCCUAUUUCCUUUUUUUGCCUGAAGACACGCACAUCAAUCGAUAAUUAAAAUUGUGUUUACUUCGAUAAUCAUUCUUAUUUCACCUUUUUUCCUUUAUUUUUUUUUAAUUAUAUAAGAAAAUAAUUUCAGAUUCGUAUUAGUUUUAUCGAAAAACAGAGUUUAGUCGGAAUUGUUUUUUACUCAAUUUGAUUUAUCUUUGAUGAAAUUCUCUUCACAACUCAAAUGAAAAUUUUAACAAUAAAUUCUUUUGAUGUUUUUGUGUUCAAGUAAUUUUGAAUUGAGAAUUUCAAUGGGAGCAUAUGAGUUGGAGAAGACAAUUGAGUUUUUUUUUAAAAAAAAUAAAUUAUGCUUAGAUUAUUAAUUUCCAUAGGUUGAUGUGUUCAUUUUUUAUUGGUUAGCAGAAAAAAGACUUCACGCGCUUACUUUCAAAUUGUAUUACACUUAUAAUGACAUGUCAUUAAAAAAUAUUUACUAUAGUACAUAUUUUGACGGUAGAGGUGUUCAAUAGGAACAACCUAGAGUUUAGGUGUUUUAGUGAAAUAUGCAGACAACUUUAAGGGGCCGUAGAUGACUUAAACUAAGACUGGACAAUGAUCGAAACAGAACGAGUUGAUCGGUACCGGGAUGAACCGGACCGAAAUUAUCGGGACAUAUACUCGAUUUCGUCCCGUCCCACUAUACCGGGAUAAAAUCAGAAUGGACUGAACGGAUCGAAAUGGAACGGGAUGGCACAUCUAGUUAUUUCAAAAAAUGAUUUUAAAAGAAUUACGAAAAUAUGAAUAUUUUUUUAUUUUUCUAAGUUUAAAUUAAUAGGUUUUAAAUAUACAAUGUAAUUUUUUACUUAAGUUAUUUUAAAGAUAUUUUUUUAUAAAAUUUUUACUUAUUAAGUUUGCAAGUUAAGUCUAAUUAAGUUUUCAAGAUUUAAAUCUUUUGAAGUUUAUAAGUUAUUACUUAUUAUUUAUUAAUAUGUUAUAAUUUAUAAGUAAUAUUUAUAACUUGUAAUUUAAAUAAAUUAAAUUUAUAAUUUUAAAAAUUAAAUAAAUAAAGAUAAAACAAUUACAUAAAUUAAAAAGAUCAAUUUAAUUUAUUAAAAUUUUUCUUAUAAAUUACAAUUUCAAUCUACGACUACUAACAGAGUGCAUAGUUUACGCAACCACCUUCUAGGAAGAGUUUUGUUUCAACCAAGUCUCGAAUGUAAUACUAAUGUAUAAUACUAAUAAGGGGUAGUUGGUUACUUGGGUAGUAUUUAUUAUUUAAUAUAAAAUAUAAAUUAUAAUUGAUAAAUGUAUAAUAUAAAUUAAUUAAUAAAUAUAUAAUAAAUAAUAAAUUAAUAAAUAUUAAAUAAUCGGAACCAGACCAGACCGAAUUAAAUUGCGAUAAAUCGGUACCGAUACACCAGUACCAAACCUCGAUUUUGUUCCAUUUUGUGUCCCGAUUUGGGAUGUCCUGUUUCGUUCUGUAGGCAACUGAACCGGGAUGAAUCGGAACAUUACCGGUCCGGUACAUCCCGUUCUGUUGCCCAGCCUUAACUAAAACCUUUAAUUUAAAUUCUUACUGUUCCCAAUUGGAAUUUUAUGUGUUCUUUGAAAAUAUUGAAGUGUGUGACAGUGUCAUUUUUAUUAAGUUUACUGAUUAAACUGAACAUAUUUUUAAUUAAUUACUUAAUAAUAUUUUCGACUCGCACAUUUCUCACAUGUGGCCUAAUUCAUUUUGGAGAUAGAAAGAUUUCAACAUAGUUAUAAAUUGCACUAUCUUAUUUAAAUGCUUAAGAUAAUAGGGAAAAUACAUUUUUUUUAAUUUAUCUAAUUAUAUCUUCAACAUGUUUGCCUUUUCAUCUUGGCCUAAUUUCCUAUUAUGGGUCGAACACUUAGAAAUAAUUGGUGGGGCGAGACUUGAAAUCAAGAUUAGAAUUGCCUAUGAUGAUCAAUGUUGAAGUAUGUAACCAUCUCAUUUUAAAAAAUUAAGUCAGAGAAAUACAUGACUUACGGUUCCUUUCAUUUUGACCUCAUUUUUUAUCAUGACUCAAACACAUGAAAAUUCUUUUCUAAUGAAGAACGAAAGUUCGACUCCAACCCUAGACUAGUAUAAUAUAUUUUGAUACAAUGUUGAAGUGAAUGACCCGUAUGAUUUAAAAUUUUAUAUAUUAGAGUAAAAUUCAAUUACAUUUUAAAUACACCUUCACCUCUCGACCUAAAUUCUUUCUUAUGAGCUAAUUACGUGAAAAUAAUUGAUAGAGGCAAGACUUGAUAAACUCUGGACGAGUACUACCUACUAUAAUACAAUAUUGAAGUAUACCACCAUCUCAUUUUAUUAUAUCUUUGAUAUACGUACACAUACGCUCACUCAAGUCCUGACUUAAUUUUUAUUCAUGGGUCAAACACAUGAAUAUUGUUGUUUAGUAAUAUGUGGUGGUCUGAUGUUGACACUUGAAACCUAGACCGGUAUUGCUUACUUUGAUAUAUACCAUAUUGAAGUGUGUAUCCAUCGCAUUAUAAAAAUUUAAGUUAUUAGAGAUAAUAUAGUUUUAUUUAUUCCUUAAACUUUGUGUCCAGUUAACGUAGUUUCUGAUUUGUUCACUUGAUAUAGGUACCAGUUGACAUGUUAGUAAAUAAAAGAGAAAAUACAUUAAAAAAAAAUCUUAGAAGCAAAACUUAUAUUAGUACUUAAACUAUACGUGCGUUUAAAUUUCCCCUUUAUCAUCUUCGAAGUGAUUUUUUUCCAUCUUGAAACUAACACCCGCCACACCAUAGCCAGGUAAGCGUCACAUCAUAACCAUCUAGGUACCACGUCAUUAAGUUCUUUCUCACUUAUUCAUUAUUUUUUUAUUAAACACUUUUUAAAAUUAACUAUAUCAAUUAAUUAAUUUAUAAAUGCAUACCCUCCAUUCCCUCUCUUUCUUCUGCCUUGUUGUUCCCCAUUUCAACCUUCACUAGUUAGUUUUCUUCUUCUUCACCAUUCAAAAUGGAAAUAUUCACUAUAAUAUUCACAUUAUCAUUUUCGAACCCGCCCCACGAAUUUACCCUCUUGGAGAAUGAUUUUUUUUAGAAAGUCUAAGUUUUUCUUGACAACUUAAAUAAGAAAUAAAAAAUUUCAUAAGAAAGUUGAUAAAAACUAUAAAUUCUAUGAGAAGUAUUUGAAUAGAUCUAGAAAUCAAAAUGGUCAUUCAAAAUUCAAGAAAGUUUACAUUUACGAAAUCGACACAAAAAAUAUAGAGCUGCAUCAACAUCAAUAAAAUGACUUUGAUAGUGAAUUUUACGGAUUAGUAAAGGACCAAUAAAAUGAAAAUAGUUUUUUUUUAAGUGGGAGGAAGAUGGAGGAGGAGGUGUUUCAAUUGAUAAAGAGGUGUAUUGAGGAAGACAAUAAAACGAUAUCUGAUAUUUGCGUUAAGGUCUAACUAAAUCGAUAUCUGAUAUUCGCGUUGAGGUCUGACUAUUCGAUAAAUAACUCUUUUUCUUUUGCUAGGCUUGACAAUGGCAAACAUACGAAAGCUAAUGGGAGAUACGUCUUAAAGAACAUUUGAAAUUGAUGUGACAAUAAAUUGGAGAAAUUAUAUUGGAGACUCAUAUUCUUGGUAUUAUCUUAGUAUUUGUGUGAUGUUAAAUAUUUAAUAAUUCAGAAUCAUACUCCAUUUACAUAUAUUAAUUUGCAUGUAUUUGGUGUAUUCCUUAUGAGGACAUGGUAUAAAAUAAUUGAAUACAAUUUGAUAAGACAUUAUUCACAUUUUACUUUUGAUUAAUUUGGAUUUGUAUGGGAUAUAAAUGGGAUGAACCAUAGAAAUAUGCAUUCUAAAAUAAUUAUUGAGAUAAUAAGCCAUAGAACUAUAUGUUUACUAUAACAGUUUAAGCUUAACUGAAAUCAUUACAAACCUCAAUAUGGUAUCGAAAUCGGAGACAUCAACCACGAUACUAAUACAAGUUAUGCAUCGAUUAGUUAUGUACCAAACAUGAGAGGUGUGUGGUACUCGAGCACCUGUACAAUGACGAAUAUAGGGUUCAGGUAAUACGAGAAGAUUAGCGUACAUGAUCCAUCAAGAAUGACAGG
rnacentral:lncRNA from 1 species